GUGUUUGCUUCAGCAGCACACACACUAAAAUUGGAACCACCCCGAGAAGAUUAGCAUGGCCCCUGCACAAGGAUGACAAGCAAAUUUGUGAAGUGUUCCAUUUAAAA